AUCACUAAGCGGAGGAAAAGAAACUAACAAGGAUUCCCUCAGUAACGGCGAGUGAAGCGGGAUCAGCCCAGCACCGAAUCCNCCUGGUUUAGGCCCGCGGGAACUGUGGUGUAUGGGACGCCAACUGUCGUCUGUCUGGUUGCCGAAGUCCUCCUGAUCGGGGCCUCUCCCAGAGCGGGUGUCAGGCCUUUACUGGCGACCGGGCGGUCGGCUGCGAGCGUCUCUCGAGUCGGGUUGUUUGGGAAUGCAGCCCAAAGAGGGUGGUAAACUCCAUCUAAGGCUAAAUACUGGCACGAGUCCGAUAGCGGACAAGUACCGUGAGGGAAAGUUGAAAA
rnacentral:rRNA from 1 species